rnacentral:tRNA from 1 species
UUCCUGGAGGACUAGUGGUUAGGCCACUGCGUUCUCACUGCUGCGGCCCGGGUUCGAUUCCUGGCCAGGGAA